AGUUGCACAACUGCCUGGCAUGUGACUGGAGGUACUUUGCAGUCAUUGCUGGGAUUUCACUGAUGUGACCCCAACGCUGCCUCCCUCUCCACCCCACGAUGUUGGAAGAAACUCAACAGAGUAAAUUGGCUGUGGCCAAGAAAAAGUCUCAACGGGAAGCCAGGCCGAUGAGAACAGCCACUUGUCAUCAGGCUCUCCCUUUAGAAGUCACUGAAAGGGCCCCAGGAUGUGGUGAGGAGGGCCCCAGGCACUAGAAUUAAGAGAAGAACUAACUUGCCACCAGAUUGCUCGGUGACCACAGAAAAAUCACUUCUUCCCCUGGGCCUCAGUUUUCUCCUCUUCCUCGAGCCGCUGUGAAGCAGUCCUCAAGCGGCAGUUAUGGCAGUCCAUAAAGGCUCGGGCACAGCUGGAAGCACACGUGACACAGAUGUUGGAACAAGUCCAGCUAGAGACAGAUGAAUAUACUCAACAUCUAAAAGGAGAGAGGGCCCGGUGGCAGCAGAGGGUAUGGAAAAUGUCAGAGGAGGUUUGCACAUGGAAGGAGGAGAAGAAGCAUGACAGGCAUCGGGUACAGGAGCUGGAGAGCAGGUGGCGUUUUUCAACUCCGCUGGAGCCAGUGCCCAGGAGGAGCAGGUAUGGCUUAUGUGGGCAGCUGAGGGAGCAAAGGGUGUGGUGCCAGCGCCUGACUCACCCGGGUGGCCUUGGCCCAGAAGGAGCCAGAGGUAGUGGAACCAGCCCCAGGGACUGGGGAUGAGUCUGUGUGUGGGUAGACUCAUCAGGCCCUGCAGGGAUCCAUGGAGAAGUUGCAGAGUGGCUUUAUGGACCUCCUGAAGGAGAAGGUGGACCUGAAGGAGUGGGUGGAGAAACUAGAGCUUCGAUCCAUCCACCUCUCAGGACAGGCAGACACCAUCAGAAAGUAAAUCACAACAUACGAGGGCCAGAGGGCAGCGCCAAAGACGCGGCACCAGGAGGAGGAGGACAUCAUCAGGCUGGCCCAGGACAAAGAGGAGAUGAAGAUGGGGCAUUGCAGCACCUCUGUGGGGGUGGGGGUGGGGUGGGUGUGAGCGUGGGCAGGGGCACUGGCACCAGCGUGGCAGCUGAGCACCCCUCCCUUCAGGUGAAACUGCUGGAGCUGCAGGAGCUGGUGUUGCGGCUUGCAGGCGAUCACAACGAGGGGCAUGGCAAAUUCCUGGCCGCUGCCCAGAACCCUGCUGAUGAUCCUGCUCCAGGGGCCCCAGCCCCUCAGGAGCUUGGGGCUGCUGACAAGCAGGGUGAUUUUUGUGAGGUGAGCCGACAGCCUGGAGCCUGCACCAGGAGAGGCCAGGGAGGGUUGUCCCCAUGACAACCCCACUGCACAGCAGCUCAUGCAGCUUCUUCCUGUGAUGCGGGACCCCCAGGAGUACCCAGGCUUGGGCAGCAGUCCCUGCAUGCCAUUCUUUUACCAGGCUGCCAAGAACAGGGAGCUAAACAUCACCAUCAUCUAAGAGCUGGUCAAGAAAUUAAAAAAGAAGAAAAAAAAGUUAUGGGGUUAAUCUCCUACACAAUUCAUUUACUUCAUUUGAAUGUU
rnacentral:lncRNA from 1 species